AAAAAGAAACCAACAGGGAUUGCCUCAGUAGCGGCGAGUGAAGCGGCAAGAGCUCAGAUUUGAAAUCGUGCUUUGCGGCACGAGUUGUAGAUUGCAGGUUGGAGUCUGUGUGGAAGGCGGUGUCCAAGUCCCUUGGAACAGGGCGCCCAGGAGGGUGAGAGCCCCGUGGGAUGCCGGCGGAAGCAGUGAGGCCCUUCUGACGAGUCGAGUUGUUUGGGAAUGCAGCUCCAAGCGGGUGGUAAAUUCCAUCUAAAGCUAAAUACUGGCGAGAGACCGAUAGCGAACAAGUACUGUGAAGGAAAGAUGAAAAGCACUUUGAAAAGAGAGUGAAACAGCACGUGAAAUUGUUGAAAGGGAAGGGUAUUGCGCCCGACAUGGGGAUUGCGCACCGCUGCCUCUCGUGGGCGGCGCUCUGGGCUUUCCCUGGGCCAGCAUCGGUUCUUGCUGCAGGAGAAGGGGUUCUGGAACGUGGCUCUUCGGAGUGUUAUAGCCAGGGCCAGAUGCUGCGUGC
rnacentral:rRNA from 1 species